GGAGAGGCCAAAGGGUAGGCAGGUGAACCGCCAUGUCUUGUGCCGCCAGUAAAAACGUAGGAGGUCUCGAGAUGCCGCCGCUAUCGGCACUGUCAGGUACGCGUCUUUUAGGUCUAGCUUCGCUAGCCAGUCUCCGUGGAGGAGGAGAUCUCUUAGUAGGUGAAUACCUUCCAUCUUGAAAUGGCGGUACCUGACUAUGGCAUUGAGGGGGCGCAAAUUUAUGACGGUUCUCGAUUGGCCGCCCUUCUUUUCCACCAGGAAGAUGUUGCUUAU